rnacentral:rRNA from 1 species
UAAAUAAUAAAAAGAAAAAUGAACAGAAAUUAAAUAAAAAUUUUGAUUAUUUCUUAUUUAUAAGAAUUAAAGGUGUGUAUGUUUUUGUUAUUAAAAAUAUAUAUAAUGAAAAUACAAAAUAUAUAUCAAAAAUAAGAUAAAUAAAAAUAUUUACAGUAGUGAAUUUUUUUUAGAAUAAAAAUAAAAAUAUUAAAACACGACCUCAGGUUAGGUGAGACUACCCGCUGAAUUUAAGCAUAUUAAUAAGCAGAAAAA